ensembl:lncRNA CBR3-AS1 CBR3 antisense RNA 1
ACUGGGGCGGUUCAGUCGCCUCAGCCGCGGUGUGAGGGAGCGGGAGUCUUCCUUAGCUUCUCCGCCAUGGGUGUCGCUUCGUAGCCGGGCUGCUCCGGGAAAGGCCUCGUACAGCACGCAUUCACCAGAAUCCUGUCAGCUUUCCUCUUCUCAUCCAGACGCCUGGCCAGGAUCCUCGAUAAGACCGUGACCCCCAACUUGGACACCCCAUAAGCUUUGUUCUCAGAAACUUGGCGGCUACAAGGAAUUAAAUGUGAAUGGGAAAGGAAGAAAGAAAAACACAGAUCAUAGAAGCUGUGCCUUCGAGGAAAUAAAUCCUCUUAAGGGGAGGAGGUGUCCUCUUUGAUCUGAGGGCACACCUCUGGGAGAGAGGCCAGAGGCUGACAGUCAGCCUCGUCAGCCAGAUGCGUCAUCAGCCCUGGGAAGGGCUGCACCCACACCACCCUCCACUGAGGUCCAGGUGGCCCCACCGGUCCCGAAACACCUGCUGCCUUACUCUAGAAAGAGUAGGCAAGUUGCGCCCUCUAGUGGCUUAGUAGUUGCUUGUCCUAUUGACUCAGAACCUUGAACAAAUAAGCAAGUCAAAUACAGAUAGAUGGUCCCUGCCCUCUGAUGGUUCCACUUAGGACUUACUGACUUCACUGAUGGAUGAGGAAGCGAUAUGCAUUCUGCAGAAUCUGUACUUGGAGGCCCCAUACAACCAUUCUGCAUUUCACUUUCAGUACAGAUUCAAUAAAUUACAUAAGAUACUCAACAUUUUAUGAU